rnacentral:rRNA from 1 species
GAACGCUGGCGGCGUGCCUAAUACAUGCAAGUAGAACGCUGAGGACUGGUGCUUGCACUGGUCUAAGGAGUUGCGAACGGGUGAGUAACGCGUAGGUAACCUACCUCAUAGCGGGGAUAACUAUUGGAAACGAUAGCUAGUACCGCAUGACAAUAGGGUACACAUGUACCCUAUUUAAAAGGGGCAAAUGCUUCACUAUGAGAUGGACCUGCGUUGUAUUAGCUAGUUGGUAAGGUAACGGCUUACCAAGGCGACGAUACAUAGCCGACCUGAGAGGGUGAUCGGCCACACUGGGACUGAGACACGGCCCAGACUCCUACGGGAGGCAGCAGUAGGGAAUCUUCGGCAAUGGGGGGAACCCUGACCGAGCAACGCCGCGUGAAGUGAAGAAGGUUUUCGGAUCGUAAAGCUCUGUUGUUAGAGAAGAACGGUAAUGGGAGUGGAAAAUCCAUUACGUGACGGUAACUAACCAGAAAGGGACGGCUAACUACGUGCCAGCAGCUGC